UACGAAGGGGGCUAGCGUUGCUCGGAAUCACUGGGCGUAAAGGGUGCGUAGGCGGGUCUUUAAGUCAGGGGUGAAAUCCUGGAGCUCAACUCCAGAACUGCCUUUGAUACUGAGGAUCUUGAGUCCGGGAGAGGUGAGUGGAACUGCGAGUGUAGAGGUGAAAUUCGUAGAUAUUCGCAAGAACACCAGUGGCGAAGGCGGCUCACUGGCCCGGUACUGACGCUGAGGUGCGAAAGCGUGGGGAGCAAACAGGAUUAGAUACCC
rnacentral:rRNA from 1 species